rnacentral:SRP_RNA from 1 species
GCUGAGCAUUGUGGCACUUGCCUGUAGUCCUAGCUACUAAGGAGUCUGAGGUUAGAAGACCGCGUGAGUUCAGGAGUUCUGGGCUGCAGUGUGCUAUAGCAUUCGGGUGUCUGCACUAAGUUUAGCAUCAAUAUGGUGACCUGGGAGCGGAGGACCACCAGGCUGCCUGAGGAGGAGUGAACCAGCCCAGGCUGGAAACAGAGCAAGUCAAAGCUCCCAUGCUGAUCAACCAUAAAAGAGACCAACAGGCCAAUCUCCCUAAGCAACAUAGAUGAAAAAAUCUUCA